rnacentral:tRNA from 1 species
GGGGGUGUAGUUCAGUGGUAGAAUGCUUGUCUAACACAAGACCCUGAGUUCAAGUCCCAGUACCACAA